rnacentral:rRNA from 1 species
UACGUAGGGCGCAAGCGUUAUCCGGAAUUACUGGGCGUAAAGGGCGCGUAGGCGGCCUUCUAAGUCGAACGUGAAAUCCCUGGGCUUAACCCAGGAACUGCGUCCGAUACUGGAAGGCUUGAAUCCGGGAGAGGGAUGCGGAAUUCCAGGUGUAGCGGUGAAAUGCGUAGAUAUCUGGAGGAACACCGGUGGCGAAGGCGGCAUCCUGGACCGGCAUUGACGCUGAGGCGCGAAAGCCAGGGGAGCAAACGGG